GGAAGUGUGGGUGAGAGGAUGAAACCAACAGUUUGCUAAACUGUCGUACAAAUAAUUGUACCACGAGUUCGAAUCUCGUCGCUUCCG
rnacentral:tRNA from 1 species